UCGGGGAUGGUCUAAUGGUAGGACAUGGGCCUUUGAAGCCCAGUAUCUAGGUUCGAAUCCUAGUCCCCGAGCCA
rnacentral:tRNA from 1 species